GCUGAGACCAUGGGAUUUGGCGAGCACGUCGACAAUCAGUCGAAUUAUGGCGAGAGGGAGGACGAUGGGGGCAAGGAUGACGGUUAACAAUGGCCAUAAUAUUAAUCCGGAGAGGAAAUUGUCCAUGGUACUUUGUUCAUCAUUCACUUGAUCAAUUGGACCAGCGUGAUUAAAAAGUGACUCACCCAUCUUUGCCAGCGGAGAAGGAUAGCAUUUCUGAGCCCAAUUCCCUUGACAACCUGACUAAACCACAGUCAAAUCUGAAGCGAGGAUUCAUCGCAUAUACCAAGAAUUGACCAUCAAUCAGUGUAUCAAUCAAAUUCAAGAAGUCGAGAAGAUGGUCAUCGUCCUCUCCGAAUAUGUGGAUCAAGGCUUCCUUCAUCACGAUCAAUUCCCGCAGUUCGUUUCCAACCUCUUGACAAACCUCGAUAACAACGUCGUUGAGUGAUUUUUUACGCUCAAGGGUACGAAAAACAAACUCGUUGUCAGUGUUUCCCCCACGAAACUGAAAAUCCUUCCGACACCCAAAUAUGUCCUCGGUCCACUGGACAUUACUGUCAAUCAGUGUCAAAAUCCGUUUGAAAAUGGGAUGAUCCCGAACCAAUGCAGGGACUCGAGUCCCUGAGACAAAUAAAAUUCCUUCCACGCACGUCGAAGUACCGGCGUUGUACUGUUUCCAGAAGUUGUAAGGGCGUAGGCAAAGUCUACAAUGUCAGAAUAAAGGUACGAAAUAGGAGCUCAAUGUAAUAUGAAGAGAAAUGACAACAAGGAAAAGUAACAAGUCUGUUAUCACGAUGAUACACUUUCUGUGAAUUAUGUACAUAGCUCAGAGUUUUUAUAAUAGAAGUAUCCAAGGUGUAAAAAAAACUGGUUAGCAUAUUUCACAAAUUUGAUGCAAUAUUGAUUUUUUUUACUCUGAAUUACUUAAGUAGUUCGUACUUAUCAUGUGCUUGUCGUAAAAACAAAGUGACAUAUUUAAGUAUACGUAUGUAAAUAUGUAUGUUGAUUGUAGACUACAACACCCUAAGACUUUGUAGCUUGGGAAAGGCUAAAGAGUUCACAUUACAGGAAAAUCUUCUCUUAAUUCUAGAUAAUUAGAGAAAUAAAGUUGAAUUGAUCGCGAUUACACAGUGUGUUUUAUUGUAGUACAUAAGUUAGAUUAUUUGUGAUCUUACUGAUACGAGGAAUAAAUGUUAAGUUAAAACAAUUUAUCUAGGAUCUAAAUCGUGUAAGAAUUGAAAUUAAGAAUUUCCGCCUAUUCUAAAUUGUAUGUAUAACCUUUCUCAACCUACAACAUUCAGACGGGAUGCAUUAUGUACUAGGUAGCUUUCUGUUACUAUCUGGAACGGGGCAAUAAUUAAAAUAUUAAGUCUGAAUAAGACUAGUAACGUGCUGAUAAUGUUA